rnacentral:rRNA from 1 species
GAUGAACGCUGGCGGCGUGCCUAAUACAUGCAAGUCGAGCGAACAGACGAGGAGCUUGCUCCUUUGACGUUAGCGGCGGACGGGUGAGUAACACGUGGAUAACCUACCUAUAAGACUGGGAUAACUUCGAGAAACCGGAGCUAAUACCGGAUAACAUGUUGAACCGCAUGGUUCAACAGUGAAAGACGGUCUUGCUGUCACUUAUAGAUGGAUCCGCGCCGCAUUAGCUAGUUGGUAAGGUAACGGCUUACCAAGGCAACGAUGCGUAGCCGACCUGAGAGGGUGAUCGGCCACACUGGAACUGAGACACGGUCCAGACUCCUACGGGAGGCAGCAGUAGGGAAUCUUCCGCAAUGGGCGAAAGCCUGACGGAGCAACGCCGCGUGAGUGAAGAAGGUCUUCGGAUCGUAAAACUCUGUUAUUAGGGAAGAACAAAUGUGUAAGUAACUAUGCACGUCUUGACGGUACCUAAUCAGAAAGCCACGGCUAACUACGUG